rnacentral:tRNA from 10 species
GCGCCCGUAGCUCAGUCGGAUAGAGCAUCAGCCUUCUAAGCUGAGGGUCGUUGGUUCGAUUCCAACCGGGCGCACCA